GUGGUUUAUAACCCUACCAUGGGGGUUAAACAUGAUGACAUUGAUGGUUCAGCUGAGGAUCAGUAUUAGAGUUUAUGGAGAAGAUUAGCAGUGAAUGGUUGUUGGGUAUCUCGUGGUAUUAGUGUUGAUGUUGGAAGUUAUUUAUAUUUUUUAAGUUUGCUUCAAUGGAUUUAGACGGUUCAUAGAGACUUAUGUUAAUGUUUCAUUAUUUCUAGUUUGUUAUUUGAGACAUGAAGAAGAGUUGAUUUUAUUUGAGUUGCUGGAUUGAAAAUUGGAUAGAUGAGUUUAUAUAGUUUAUUUAAUUGAAGUAUUUACGUUU